UGGUGAUGAUGGCUGAAUGGAUCCACCUGUUCCCAUGCCGAACACAGUAGUUAAGCAUUCAUACGCCGAAAGUACUUGCUUGGAGACGAGCUGGGAGGAUAGGACAUUGCC
rnacentral:rRNA from 1 species